rnacentral:lncRNA from 1 species
UGUGUGGUGUGUGUGUGUGUGUGUGUGUGUGUGUGUGUGUGUGUGUGUGUGUGUGUGUGAGAUACAUAAUGAUUUACUGUCUCACUAUUAAUUAAACCUCUGCUUCACAGACAUGGAUGAAAAGGCAGACACUGAUUCAGACAGCUCAGGUAGAGAUUUCUCAUGCUUCAAAAGCAGAACAUGUUCCUGUAGCAACUUCCUAGUUGAUUAUUGAACAACAGUCAUAACAACCAAUCAGCUUUGAGGGUUAAUGUUAGGCUUGAGCGUGGGCCUUUAAUCAUUCUUAUCAAGCCACCGUUCCCCUCUGGUGGUAGUUAAUGGUUAGGAUAAGGAGCAUGAACACUGUUAACAUUGUUAAACACAAACAUUGUUCCAGCACCCACAAAAGAUGUUCCAGGAACACAUCCUACUUGGCACAGUCCUUUCUCAAUGCAAAAUGAUAUAUUCUUCUGAAACAAUGCUGGCAUAUAUAUAUACAUUUUCAGAUGGGGAUUCUGCUAGUGUGGAAAAGAAAGAUUCUGAUGAUGCACCUGAUGAUGCAAAUACUACAGAAGACACGGCUGAUUCAUCUGACAAGGAUUCUUCAGACACAGCUGAGCAGCAGGACUCUGAUGGUGAGCUUAAAAACCAUAAAAGAAAUUGAAAAAAUAACUAAAACUCUGCACUAACAAGGC